CAAGAAAAAUCCAAACCUGCUGUAAAGCAGGGACGGAAAGCCACGGGUUUCUUUUGUAAGAAGCAGCCGGUUAUCAAUA
rnacentral:ncRNA from 1 species